CUUGAACGCAUAGCAGUUGUCAAAAUGUACAUCUACCUAGGCUUCUCUACAUCUACCAGACAAUCCCGUUGGCCCUACCCAUGUCAUACUUUAAAAAGUAGAGGGGGAAGAGUCUGCGCUUAAUAACGGAAAAGCUGCAACCCUCAAAGGGAAUCCCUCAGAAACCCUUUAAGAUAGGUAAAUAAAUAGAGGAGUUUAGGGCUGUGCUGUUAGAUA